AUUGAACGCUGGCGGCAGGCUUAACACAUGCAAGUCGAACGGUAACAGGCAGCAGUUUGCUGAUUUGCUGACGCGUGGCGGACGGGUGAGUAAUGUCUGGGAAACUGCUCGAUGGAGGGGGAUAACUACUGGAAACGGUAGCUAAUACCGCAUAACGUCGCAAGCACAAAGAGGGGGACCUUAGGGCGUCUUGUCAUCGGAUGCGCCCAGAUGGGAUUAGCUAGGAGGUGGGGUAACGGUUCACCUAGGCGACGAUCCCUAGCGGAUCUGAGAGUAUGACCGGCCACACUCGAACUGAGACACGGUCCAGACUCCUACGAGAGGCAGCAGUGCGGAAUAUUGCACAAUGGGCGCAAGCCUUAUGCAGCCAUGCCACGUGUAUGAAGAAGGCCUUCGGUUUGUAAAGUACUUUCAGCGGGGAGGAAGGGAUUUAAGUGUAUACCUUGACUCAUUGACGUUACCCGCAGAAGAAGCACCGGCUAACUCCGUG
rnacentral:rRNA from 1 species